UCUCCCCGUGGCUGCCCCUCCCUGGUCCUGAUCUAGCUGGCACCACCAGGGUCUUGAACUUGACAGUGGACUUGUCCAUUUCCAGCGCCAGACCAUAAGCCUCUUGAAGGCAGGGAUUGUCUCUGUUCAGCAUGUAGCCCCAAAGGGCCCAGCACCUGACAUUAGAAUAAUGUACAAUCAAUAUUUGUUGGAAAAAAAGCGGAUACAUUAGCUAAAUACAAACAGAACUGCCGCUUGCCUUUUCAUGAAUAAAGCCAGCUUUAGGAGCAACCGGACUUACAGCUGGGAGGGCAUAGAGGCAAAUUCGGUCUUAAAUUAAGCACACUCAUUUUGCUUAAUGUCUUUUGCUUCUUGGAAAAUUGUCCCAGAGCCAGCAAAACGAGACUUUUUUCUUUUCUUUUGGCCCUAAAUUAUUUCUGAAAGUUACAGCAUUUUAGAUUUGUAUUGUUUUAUUAGCUGUCAUUUUUAUUCAUGCCCUCCUUUGUUUCGCUCUCUUUCUCUGGACCUCUUCCUGGUUUAGCUUGACGGAGCCUCCGCUAAGCUGUUCCUCAUAUGGAAAGUUGUCUCUUCAUCAGCACGCCAUAAAUAAUCAAACCUGGCUGGAAAAAAAAAAAUGGCUUUACCAGAUUAAGCGGUAGCUCUCCUGUUCUCUUUUGGGAAGGCCUCAGCCAAAUCGUGAAGGAAGGAAAAUUCGUGUUACCCCUCAGCUUUGGGGCCCAUGCACAUCUCCUCAGCUGCGCCCCUGCCGCCCAACAGUACCGCAUGGACAAUGAUCCACAGUGACAGAGACAUCUUUUCAACCCAGUACACACAUGGAUACGCACACAGACAGACCUAUAAUCCAGACGGAAGCUUGACUUCGUGAAAAUAAUACAGUGAAUGUAAUAAUUUA